CACGUAGGCACCAAGCGUUGUCCGGAUUUAUUGGGCGUAAAGAGCUCGUAGGCUGUUCAGUUAGUUGGGUGUGAAAACUCCGGGCUUAACCCGGAGCCGCCACCCAAUACUGCUGUGACUAGAGUUCGGUAGGGGAGCGGGGAAUUCCUAGUGUAGCGGUGAAAUGCGCAGAUAUUAGGAGGAACACCGGUGGCGAAGGCGCCGCUCUGGGCCGAAACUGACGCUGAGGAGCGAAAGCAUGGGUAGCAAACAGG
rnacentral:rRNA from 2 species